AGCGGGGGCCACGUAUUGAAAGAUGUUGUGAGGAAGGGGCUGAGGCCAAGUGACCGAGGACUUUUAUGCCAGUCCGAGGCGGGCUCGAUCCCAUGGCUCUCGCAGGCUGCCCUUGGGAGUGUUGCACCUGUGAUGAGAUCUGUGAAAGAUCCCCGGACUAAAAGUCAGGGAGUAUUUUGUCUGACACCUUUGAUGGAUAAAGGGAUCCUUGAGCUACAUCCUGAAGAGAUGGAUUCUAUAAGGUGGAAGUGA